GGGGACGUAAUGGAAUCGACAGGAAAGAUUAUCGGUUAGUAAGCAUGUCGGAGCAGCAUUGUUCACUCCGUUAACAAAUGACAAUGAAACCUUUUUACAUGGCAACUCACAGUUCGCCAUGGCUGCCUAAGAUUAGAUCUUAGAAAGCCUUUGUGCCGUACGCUUGACGCCUGAUACACAGUGUGCCGCAUAUCAUAACCCUUCAGGCUGGCGUGGAAGCCUUUUCCGACUGCUGCGCGAGACUUAAGGAAAUACGGUAAAGCAUGGUGGGUUACUGGACCGGUGCUGUACCCGACAAUUCAAUAAGUAACUAAACAUGUAGAAGGCUCUCCGAGGCUUUGUCUGGACGCGAGUUCGACUCUCGCCGUCUCCACGA
rnacentral:tmRNA from 1 species